rnacentral:tRNA from 1 species
AGCUUAGUUGGUCAACGUGCCAGUUUAGUAAACAGGAGAUCCUGGGUUCAAAUCCCAG